GACGAACGCUGGCGGCGUGCUUAACACAUGCAAGUCGAACGAUGAAGCCUAGCUUGCUAGGUGGAUUAGUGGCGAACGGGUGAGUAAUACGUGAGUAACCUACCUUUAACUCUGGGAUAAGCCUGGGAAACUGGGUCUAAUACCUGAUACGACCAAUCUCCGCAUGGGGUGUUGGUGGAAAGCGUUAUGUAGUGGUUAUAGAUGGGCUCACGGCCUAUCAGCUUGUUGGUGAGGUAACGGCUCACCAAGGCGACGACGGGUAGCCGGCCUGAGAGGGUGACCGGCCACACUGGGACUGAGACACGGCCCAGACUCCUACGGGAGGCAGCAGUGGGGAAUAUUGCACAAUGGGCGCAAGCCUGAUGCAGCGACGCCGCGUGAGGGAUGACGGCCUUCGGGUUGUAAACCUCUGUUAGCAGGGAAGAAGAGAAAUUGACGGUACCUGCAGAGAAAGCGCCGGCUAACUACGUG
rnacentral:rRNA from 1 species